AUGAGAAGUCUUUGUUCUUCUGGUUAAACAUAGGUAUCUGAAGUAUUCUUGAGAGCUGCAUGGAGCUGGUGGUGGCAGUUUUACAGGACUUGGAGCUGCAGCCUUAUGGGGAGGCAGUCAGAAUCCACAUGGGAUAUCCUGUUGCCCCCGAGGCCUCAAUAUUUUGGCAACAGAGUGCUGCUAUUGUUGUUUGCUGGUUUUACAUAUAUAUCCUUUUCUGAAAGAGCAGACGUUGGUGUUCCAGAACCCAGUCAAUGCACAUACUUCUCCACAGUCUUUAUGCAUUCUGUUUGCAGGCUCUCCAAUUUGCCAGUUGACAAAAUCCAAUUCUGACUUGUCUG
rnacentral:lncRNA from 1 species